UUAGCACUUUAACAGGUCCUGGUCUCUGUGUGGUAGACCAUGAUUUGGUGGCUGGUGCUGAAAUUAAAUCUCUCCAUCAAACAAAUACCACUGACUUUUACAGUGUGUCUGCUGGUUGUAUUUGGGAGAGAGAACAGUA
ensembl:snoRNA